AACGAACGCUGGCGGCGGGCUUAACACAUGCAAGUCGAACGGCAAGGCCCUACUUUUGUGCUGUUCUCGAGUGGCGAACGGGGGAGGGACACGUAAGUAACCUGCCCUUGACUUUGGGAGAACUUCAGGUAACUGAGGCUAAGACCAUAUAGCAUCCGCCGCUGCAUGGUAGGGGUUGGAAAUUUUCGGCUGGUGGGGAUGGACUGGCGGCUUAUCAACUUGUUGGUUGGGUAGUGACUUACCAAGCCUUGGGCGGGUAGCCGGCCUGGGAGCGUGGCCGGCGACAUUGGGACUGAGAUACGGCCCAGACUGCUACGGUGGGCAGUAGUGGGAAAUCUUGCCCAAUGGUCGGAAGCCUGAUGCAGCAACGCCGCGUGUGGGAUGACCGUCUUUGGGGUGAAAACCGCUUUCGCCUGUGACGAAGCGUGAGUGACGGUAAUGAGUAAAGAAGCACCGGCUAACUACGUG
rnacentral:rRNA from 1 species